CGGAGUGUAGCUCAGCCUGGCUAGAGCGCUACGUUCGGGACGUAGAAGUCGGAAGUUCGAAUCUUCUCACUCCGACCA
rnacentral:tRNA from 1 species